AAGAUCUUUCCUUAAAUUAUCCCACGAGUCAAAAGACCAUCACUGUUAGUCUGUGGUGAAUAUAUUCAGAGCAUUCUCCACAAAACAAAUUUCCUGGAAAGGCAAGCGAGCAGCACAUGUUUAAGGGUCUCCAGAUGGAUGGCUCCAUCUUGAUUCUUUUGUGUCCAAGCUCCAAAGCCAAGUGCUUAUUCUGAUGCCUGGAGCAAUUUCAUCCAUGUUGGACGGCAGGGAUAAAUGUGGGAAUCAUCAGGGCCUCUUGAGACGUCUUUGCUUCCCACAGAAACUGCAGGCAUGGCAGGGAGGAGACCUGGCCGUCAAGAAUGUGAAUUAUGAGCUCCUCCAAAAGGUCAGCUAGAAUGCCCUAACGUAACACGAGAAGCGGUAACUUGGAAUUCCUUUAUGGAAUGGCUGAUAGAAGACAGAUACAUGGCUUACGUGAAAACAGAAGGAGCAGAGCUGUGUGCCUUGCAAUUAGAAGGAAAGUUACUUGUGUCUAAGCACAGAAUGACCCUGGACAGCCAUGAGUGACUCUCAUUUUCCCAGCUUCCCAGCUCGGAGGAGACGCUGCUCCUGCAGACUGCUUGUUGGAACCCUGGUAUCCAUCGGAUGUUAGGAUUUGUCGUUGCAUCUGACGCCGGCAGAGGGCGUCCAAGGUUCAGGGUGUCACGGAGGCAGAGAAGGCUUGGAAGACCAGAGCCUUGAGAUGCUUUUUCAACAAACUCAAACCAGUCUUUGUGGACACAGAGCAGGAGUCAAAUCCCCAGGAUUAAAUUCGCCCCCUCUAAAAAGCAUUUCAUACCAUUCUGGAGCAAGAGCCACCAUGAAGCCACCUGCCACCUGCAAUACAGUCCACAAACCAUCAGAAUACCUGUGUCCGUACCUCUGGCAAUGGUGUCCGGUCAUUUGUGACUUCUACCUGGUCUACAAGAGGGAAAGACUGAAGAAAACUCAAAAAGAACACCAUUACAAAGAGUAAC